UAACGCGUGAGCAAUCUGCCUUUAAGAGGGGGAUAACAGUCGGAAACGGCUGCUAAUACCGCAUAAAGCAUCAAAUUCGCAUGUUUUUUGAUGUCAAAGGAGCAAUCCGCUUUUAGAUGAGCUCGCGUCUGAUUAGCUGGUUGGCGGGGUAACGGCCCACCAAGGCGACGAUCAGUAGCCGGACUGAGAGGUUGAACGGCCACAUUGGGACUGAGACACGGCCCAG
rnacentral:rRNA from 1 species